AUUUGAUGUUCGGCCAUUGCUGCAGAGAUGCGCCUCCCUGGUGGCACUCGCAUCGUGUAAUAUGCCACCCAAUAGUCAGUUGAAAAUGCAGAUUUCCAGCCGCACUUGCAUAAUCCACACAUGGCACACAGGCGACUCCCCCCGCCUGCCAUUUGCAAGGAGCAGAGCAGGCCGCCGCAUAAACUAAGCUAACAAUUCAACUAAAAUGCCAACCAGAUAAUAAAACUCUCAAAUCGAUGAAGAAGUGGAAGCAUUGGCCUUUGUGAUCGACUGAGUGUGCAAUGGCAAGAUGGAAAAUGGAAAUAAAACUGCGAACACGAAACAGACAGUCAGUCGCAGGGGCCAGAGCCACAGUCGGGGCUGGCAGCGAGGCAGUCAGGCCAGGCCAUUCAAGCGACCACCCACACAUCUGGGCCAGAGACACAGCCAGAGCAUCCUCGCCGCCUGCGCAGUGUCAAAUAGACAGGAAAAACAGCAAGAGCAACAGCAACAGCGGACGAGAGCUGCGUGGAGUCGGUGAGUUGGAGGCUGGCAUAUUCCAGCGAAUAAAUAUUAUCAUAUGGAAAUUUCCUUUCAGAGCAAUUACGAAUGCUGCCACAGCCACAGUCAGGGCCCCAGCGUUUCUUGUGGCAAGUGACCUGCGAGACGUCAAAUGCAGCGCACAGGAAAUCGAAGUCGCAACUCGACGGGUUUGACGAUGAUGUAGCACCACCAGCUUUAUGCACUGUCUCUCUGCCUCUCCUUUCAGCCAUUCAUAGAGAUCCCAGCGUGUCGCAGUCGUAGAAAGUUUUACUGUGUCUCCCCCUCCCCCUCCUCGUCGGUUGGUGUGUUUGUUCAAGGCAGUCUCCACUGUUACUGCUCUUUGCUCUGCGUACCUGUUGGAGCUGCGUUUUUCGGGGAGCAGCAGCAGCAACUGAAAUUGCCAAUUGUUGUGCUUCGAUGGCAGUGGCAGGCUACUGUUUGGGCUGCCACACACCUUGCAGCUGGAACGGAAGCGAGGCAUCUUAGAGAUCAGCGAGGCUCUGCCUGCUGGCUCUUGUGUGUUGCCACUUUCGGCGCUGGCUCUGCCUUUUUAAGCCAUUUUAAUAUGAGCGUUGCACAUCUUGGCUGUGGGUGUGGCUGAUUGGGCAAGCCGAACCAAACGAAACGAAACCAACAAAAAAAAUGGAUGAGAAGAGGCUCGCUCCGUCUGCGCUGGGCCAGGCCAGGCCAGGCCCAAUGAUCAAUCUUGGCCAUGGCAACGUUUUACGAUGACGAUGACGAUGAUGAUGAUGAUGACGACGUGGACUUUGUUUGCCGGCGAUGGCUUUGAUUGCUGCAGCAGCAGCAGCAGCCUCUCAGCCAUUUGCCAGCUUUUGCUACUGGUUUUUCUCCGAAGCCUCACUUAAGUGGGCGUGUGGGCAUUUUUGUUAGAAAAUGUUUGGCCCGAUCCGCAGGAAGCGAUCUGUUUGGCUUAUGGAAAUGCUGCCAACAGGCAAGCGAAAUGUUUCAAUUAUUAGUAUUUUUAGUCGGCAAUUAAAGGGAACACCUGCAGGGGGGGAUCAUUUUACACAGAAAUUGUACUCAGCAC
rnacentral:lncRNA from 1 species